GGCCAAGAUCAUUAGGCAAGGGUGCCCUUCCCACACAGUAAUGCCUUGCAGGCACAAGGAUGGAAAAUUAUGCCAGGAAUGCGAUACCGCCAAGCCUGAACACAGAGAGGACACGACGUUGGCACAGGCCUGUUGGGUCUUGACUUCAGCCUGCAGAGGAGCUGGAGGAGGCUGGCAGACUCUGCUCACAAAUGGGAAGGCCCAGCUGCCAAUGGCUUUUCCUCUCUGCCCAUGUAACACUUUUUGUGGGGAAUGUGUGGACACAACUUGAGGCUUUGUAUCCACCCUGUCAGUUGGUGAGAUAGAGAAGAGAUGGGCUGAUGGUUAUUGAGGCACUAUUGCUCAGAUGGGGCAUUGUUGGAGCCCAUAGAUGGGGCAUUGUUGGAGUUGUAAUGAGAGAAGUUGCUAGUGGCCCCUGGAGCAAGACACCUGGAGCUUCUAUUCAGCUUGCUCUUCUUCAACGUCCAUGCUUCUGGCUCCCACAUGCAACACCCAUUGUGGAGCACCAAAAUGAUCUCAUUGCAGGUGGUGUGAGAAUGCAGAACCAGCCAAAAGGAAGCACUCUCCAGUGCAUUAUUCUCAUGCCGCAAAGACCUCCUGGGCAGUAGGAGGGGCCUCUCCCUGGCAGAGGGCUGGAUUUGUUGACCAUAUGACAGUGGGCCUUUCAGGCCAUCUGAAAGCAGACAGCAACAGGAGGUGUGGUCUUGCUGGAAAUGCUGUAAGAACGAUCCACUGAGCACAUCACAGGCAGUGGAUUUAUUGUUCAGAUGGGUAGUGACUAAGGUGUGAACAAGUGGGAGAAGGUUUCCAUGAGCUGGCAGGGCUCAUUGACUAGGAGUGUUGGUUUCUCUUUUGCACGGAUUAAAACAGUCACCUGGAUCAUUCUUAAUCUCGAUCAGCUACUUGU
rnacentral:lncRNA from 1 species